GUCGAACGGUGAACACGGAGCUUGCUCUGUGGGAUCAGUGGCGAACGGGUGAGUAACACGUGAGCAACCUGCCCCUGACUCUGGGAUAAGCGCUGGAAACGGCGUCUAAUACUGGAUACGAACCACGAAGGCAUCUUCAGUGGUUGGAAAGAAUUUCGGUUGGGGAUGGGCUCGCGGCCUAUCAGCUUGUUGGUGAGGUAAUGGCUCACCAAGGCGUCGACGGGUAGCCGGCCUGAGAGGGUGACCGGCCACACUGGGACUGAGACACGGCCCAGACUCCUACGGGAGGCAGCAGUGGGGAAUAUUGCACAAUGGGCGAAAGCCUGAUGCAGCAACGCCGCGUGAGGGAUGACGGCCUUCGGGUUGUAAACCUCUUUUAGCAGGGAAGAAGCGAAAGUGACGGUACCUGCAGAAAAAGCGCCGGCUAACUACGUGCCAGCAGCCGCGGUAAUACGUAGGGCGCAAGCGUUAUCCGGAAUUAUUGGGCGUAAAGAGCUCGUAGGCGGUUUGUCGCGUCUGCUGUGAAAUCCGGAGGCUCAACCUCCGGCCUGCAGUGGGUACGGGCAGACUAGAGUGCGGUAGGGGAGAUUGGAAUUCCUGGUGUAGCGGUGGAAUGCGCAGAUAUCAGGAGGAACACCGAUGGCGAAGGCAGAUCUCUGGGCCGUAACUGACGCUGAGGAGCGAAAGGGUGGGGAGCAAACAGGCUUAGAUACCCUGGUAGUCCACCCCGUAAACGUUGGGAACUAGUUGUGGGGUCCAUUCCACGGAUUCCGUGACGCAGCUAACGCAUUAAGUUCCCCGCCUGGGGAGUACGGCCGCAAGGCUAAAACUCAAAGGAAUUGACGGGGACCCGCACAAGCGGCGGAGCAUGCGGAUUAAUUCGAUGCAACGCGAAGAACCUUACCAAGGCUUGACAUAUACGAGAACGGGCCAGAAAUGGUCAACUCUUUGGACACUCGUAAACAGGUGGUGCAUGGUUGUCGUCAGCUCGUGUCGUGAGAUGUUGGGUUAAGUCCCGCAACGAGCGCAACCCUCGUUCUAUGUUGCCAGCACGUAAUGGUGGGAACUCAUGGGAUACUGCCGGGGUCAACUCGGAGGAAGGUGGGGAUGACGUCAAAUCAUCAUGCCCCUUAUGUCUUGGGCUUCACGCAUGCUACAAUGGCCGGUACAAAGGGCUGCAAUACCGCGAGGUGGAGCGAAUCCCAAAAAGCCGGUCCCAGUUCGGAUUGAGGUCUGCAACUCGACCUCAUGAAGUCGGAGUCGCUAGUAAUCGCAGAUCAGCAACGAUGCGGUGAAUACGUUCCCGGGUCUUGUACACACCGCC
rnacentral:rRNA from 1 species